ACUUUUUGGAGAGUUUGAUCCUGGCUCAGGACGAACGCUGGCGGCGUGCCUAAUACAUGCAAGUCGAGCGCAUUGAAGGGAGCUUGCUCCCGGAUGUGAGCGGCGGAUGGGUGAGUAACACGUGGGUAACCUGCCUGUCAGAUUGGGAUAACUGUGGGAAACCGCAGCUAAUACCGAAUGAUCCCCUGCACCACAUGGUGCAGGGUUGAAAG
rnacentral:rRNA from 1 species